GGAAUCUUCGGCAAUGGACGAAAGUCUGACCGAGCAACGCCGCGUGAGCGAAGAAGGCCUUCGGGUCGUAAAGCUCUGUUGUUAGAGAAGAACAUGGGUGAGAGUAACUGUUCACCCCUUGACGGUAUCUAACCAGAAAGCCACGGCUAACUACGUGCCAGCAGCCGCGGUAAUACGUAGGUGGCAAGCGUUGUCCGGAAUUAUUGGGCGUAAAGCGCGCGCAGGCGGUCUCUUAAGUCUGAUGUGAAAGCCCCCGGCUCAACCGGGGAGGGUCAUUGGAAACUGGGAGACUUGAGGACAGAAGAGGAGAGUGGAAUUCCAAGUGUAGCGGUGAAAUGCGUAGAUAUUUGGAGGAACACCAGUGGCGAAGGCGGCUCUCUGGUCUGUUACUGACGCUGAGGCGCGAAAGCGUGGGGAGCAAACAGGAUUAGAUACCCUAG
rnacentral:rRNA from 1 species